GGGGCUGUAGCUCAGCUGGGACGAGCAUUUGCCUGGCAGGCAAAGGGUCGAGGGUUCGAUCCCCUCCAGCUCCA
rnacentral:tRNA from 1 species